rnacentral:rRNA from 1 species
AUGCAAAAACAUCCCUCUGGUCCUCAUGUUUUCUCUUCGGAUCCUUCUCAGAUCCCUAAUCCUCCAUCGGCCCUCUCGACCUCUCCAGCCGGCGAGCGACGCUGUCGGCGGUCCUGGCCAGAUCCGGUGUUGGCUCCCCUCCACAGCUUCUUCUCCCUACCUCCUGUCUUCCGCUCCGGCUUCAAGGUCGCGUGGAUCCGCCUCCCGGCCAGGCCCAACGUCGCGCGGCGCAUCAUCGCAGGGAUUCGUCGGCCGUCGCUAGUCGUCCUCGUCGAUGGCCGCGGCCGCCUCGCGCACAACUGCCUAGGUCACCGUCUGGCCUCCACCAUGCCGGACUCCGAUGGGUUCGCGACAGAUCCGAAGACCCGCGGCACAGAGUUGUUAGAGAAUACGCAGCCCAGACGGCUACACGCGCCAGCUCUUCUUCCUGACUCCAUCCCCUCACUGGCUCAGUAUCAAGAGGCAGUGCACAUGUCUUUGACUGAAUUGAUUAUGGAUCUAGCUAGGGGAAUGUGCUUGCUGGCAUGGGGGAGAUUGAGAAGUCAGACAUCUGGAUUUUGGUGUAGAACACAUGUUAUGCUCCGGGCAUAUGAAGUUCCAAGAGCAAGAAACAGUAUAACUGGCGGCAAGAGAAGAACAUUCUGUCAUAUACCAUCAGGAUAG